UACGGGGGGGGCAAGCGUUGUUCGGAAUUACUGGGCGUAAAGGGUUCGUAGGUGGCCAACUAAGUCAGACGUGAAAUCCCUCAGCUUAACUGGGGAACUGCGUCUGAGACUGGAUGGCUUGAGUGCAGGAGAGGAACGCGGAAUUCCUGGAUGUGAGCGGUGAAAUGACGCAGAUAUCAGGAGGAACACCGGUGGCGAAGGCGGGUCUCUGGGCAACUACUGACGCUGAGGAGCGAAAGCGUGGGGAGCGAACAGG
rnacentral:rRNA from 1 species